GCGGAGCCUCUUGACCUGUAACAAAUUUCCACUAUUGCUUUCUUCCACCUUUCUUCUCUAAUUAAUGGCAAUGGAGUCAAUAGAGACUUAUAAACUUCCACCUAGGGUCCCGCCAUAGAUUCGUCAAAUCCCCAAAGUGUUGGAGGUGUACACUUAGUAAAUCAUACACAUAGUUGUUUAAUCUGCCUCUAUAAAUAGCGUUUCUGAUCACUUGCAUUAAGUAGGGAAACACAAAAACGAAACUUGAAACGCAAUAGUGUUGUUUAGUCUCCCACCUUUAACUUAUUACAUAACAAGUUCUCGACAUGGCUUCAUUCCAUAGCUUGAAGACUUUGGCCAUUGUUGCUAUUGCAAUUUCCUCCUUUGUGCAAGUCACCCUAGGUUCAGACAGACAGACAGGUAGAUCUCCACAUUAGGUGUUGCCCGAGUUCAGCUUGAUCGGUAAGCUUCAUGCCCUUCGGAGUUGCCGGGUCUAGAGCUUUAUGGAAAUCUUGUGUAUAUAUGUAUAUACGUUAUAAGUAGGUUGGGGUCCUGUUCCGAUCACAAUAUAUCCAUCAGUAGAGACUUGUAGACAUAUCCUGUCAGUUAGUGCAGUAUGUUGGGCUUGUAGGCCUUGUAUGUAUAUUUUGAUUGGUUUGCCAGCAGUAGUAGUUAUGACGGGCUUGUCGGCCCAGCUUUAUAUUGAUGUUUAGUCAGCUUUUGCAAAUUGUCUUAUAAUUUGGCCCAUGGCUAAAGUAUGACAUUAAUGUUCAGAGUCCCUUAGUCGCAA